rnacentral:tRNA from 2 species
CGGAUGUAGUUUAAUGGUAGAACUUCAGCCUUCCAAGCUGACCACGGGAGUUCGAUUCUCCUCAUCCG